AUGGAGGCAGCAGUAAGGAAUAUUGGGCAAUGGAAGGAAUUCUGACCCAGCCAUGCCGCGUGCAGGAUGAAUGCGCUAAGCGUUGUAAACUGCUUUUGUCAGGGAAGAAAAGAGGGAUGCGUCCCUAAUUGACGGUACCUGAUGAAUAAGCAUCGGCUAACUCCGUGCCAGCAGCCGCGGUAAUACGGGGGAUGCGAGCGUUGUCCGGAUUUAUUGGGUUUAAAGGGUGCGUAGGCGGUUUGAUAAGUCAGUGGUUAAAUUAUGCAGCUCAACUGUAUGCAUGCCAUUGAUACUGUCAGACUUGAGACUUGAGGGGGUAAGCGGAAUUGGUAGUGUAGCGGUGAAAUGCAUAGAUACUACCAGGAAUAUCGAUAGUGAAGACAGCUUACUACGGAAGUUCUGACGCUGAGGCACGAAAGCGUGGGGAUCAAACAGGAUUAGAUACCCCGGUAGUCCC
rnacentral:rRNA from 1 species